CGGGGAUAGACAGACACAUAGUUGACAGGCUACAGAAGAGGCUACGCUAAUGCAAAGGAGAUUGGAAUGACAAGUGGACUACACUUCUCGAAUGUUCAGAAAGUUAAGCUUACGUUGCAAAAAUUUUAUUGACUAAAAUGACGAAGAUGAUACAGUACAGCUGGCUGGUGAAGUAGGCUAGCUAGCAGUGGCUGCGUUGUUGACUUUGUUUGAACGUGUAGCUGGCUAGGUAACCUCGAUAGUUUCAGUACUACACCUUAUCAUGAUACAAAAGCAACUAUGUAGCUAGCUAACAUAGCACUAAUCAAGACGUUCCUUUGUAAUGUAUUUAGUUUCUACAAUGCUGCUCGUCGGUAAUAGUUGGCUAGGUUUGGAAAAAUGCCGUCGCGGGGGACGAAAAUAGCUGGCUAGCUAACCUCGAUAAUUACUCUAAACUACACAAUUAUCAAACUAUGACAAAGACAGCUAACACUGCACUAGUCAAAUCGUUCCGUUGUGAUGUAUUAGUUUCUACAAUGCUGCUAGUCAGUAAAGGUUGGCUAGCUAGCAGUGGGUUUGAUGAUGACUAGGUGUGUUGACUAAGUCUGGAGUCUGUACAACGGCGUCGCGUCGCGGCUGGCUAGCUAACCUCGAUAAUUACUCUAAACUACACAAUUAUCUUAGAUACAAAGACAGCAAAGACAACUGUGUAGCUAGCUAGCACUACACUAAUCAAGUCGUUCCGUUGUAAUGUAAUAGUUUCUACAGUGCUGCUAGUCGGUAGAAGUUGGCUAGUUGGCUAGCUAGCAGUGUUGACUAAGUUAGGAGGACGAAAACAGCUGGCUGGCUAGCUAACCUCGAUAAUUACUCUAAACUACACAAUUAUCUUUGAUACAAAGACGGCUAUGUAGCUAGCUAAGAAAAAAUUGCUCAGAUCAAACAAAUCAAACCGUUGUAAUGUAAUGAAAUGUAAUAUUACCUGUGGAGCGAAGCGAAGUGCGACUACCCGCUCCAAACCCGGAUUUUUUUUUUUUAUAUUGGAUAAAAGUUGAGAAAAUGGUAUAUCAUUAACUGCAGUUGAGGAACAAUGCAAAAGUAAGUCUGCUUUGAAAGUUCAUCAACUUUUGAGAAAAUGGUCCUUGAAUAUUUUACUACAUCUACUGGAGAGGUCUUCUUCUUUCAGCAUCAUUUAUUUUAUUUAACUCGGCAAGUCAGUUAAUAACACAUUCUUAUUUUCAAUGACGGCCUAGGAACAGUGGGUUAACUGCCUUGUUCAGGGGCAGAACGACAGAUUUUUACCUUGUCAGCUCGGGGAUUCGGACUCGCAACCUUUCGUUUACUAGUCCAACACUCUAACCACUAGGCUACGCUGGCCGCCCCAUUUACACCCUCUUAAGCAUUUACACCCAUCUCUUUAAGGAGUCACAUGUGAGGCCAUAUGCUAAACAGAGUGAGUAAGGCAGUGUAGUAAACAACCAAAGAUUUUUCAAGUCUAAAAGUGGUGAAAGUAGUAGUACAAAUAAACAAUCUAUUUCUUGGCCUAUAUCCUAAUCUGACUUCGGUGCAGGUCAUGUUGUUCUUCACAUUACCAUCUCUGGUAAACACACACUAUAUCAAAUAAAAUCUAUGUUUAUUUGUCACAUGCAAAGGAUACAGAAGGUGUAAACAGUACAGUGAAAUGGUUACUUGCAUAUUUGCAUAGUAGCAAUAUAAAAAAUAGAGUGUCCAGAUAAAUAUUGUAUACAUAUUACCCAGACACACUUGUCUAAAUUGAUGGGUCAUGUGAAAGAAUUGCUAUAACCAGCCACAUCUAGCUAAGUGGAUGGAUCUCUACGUCAAGACAUGUACACAUGUUCAUAAAAUACAAUAGAUGAACCGUAAUCACACACCUAUUAAGGCACAUUAAAGUUCAUGUUCCAGAAGGCUUUUCUGCCAAAAAAUAAAUGUUUACGUUCCUCUCCUGUGAAGUAGUGACGUGUGACAUACGCCUAGCUUCCUGAAACGAGUCACAAUAUGUUGUCAUUAAAUAUUCUGAGUAAUAGAACAGGUAAUAGUAAUAGAACAGGCUCAACAGCCUAGGAAGAAAACAAAAUACAAAAAUUGCUCACAGACUCAGUGUCUAAUCUGAUGCACAGAAACAUAUGAAAACUUGAACUAAUUACCUUCAUGUUUUCUCUGUUAAAAUCUUCUAGACCUUGCUGUAAAUCAAGCAGACAAUAGAAGAUCUCAUCAUAAAUAUAAGGGUAUUGGAUCGCAACUGUCUUCACUGGGACAUCGAAUGAGACGUCAACAUAUGCACAUUCUUCACAUUUCACUCUCCUCUUCAUAUGGAAGUAAUGCAACUGGUAACCCACUGUUACAGAUGACACAGAUCACUAUAGUCUAAUACUAAUCAAAUCAAAUUUGUCACAACGCCUUAACCAACAAUGCAUUUAAGAAAAAAAGUGUUAAGAAAGUAUUGACUAAAAUAAACUGAAGUUAAAAAAAAAUAACAAUAGAAUGAAAAUAGAAAAAUAACAAAUAAUAAAUUAAGGAGCAACAAUAAAAUAACAAUAGCGAGGCUAUAUGCAGGGGGUACCGGUGCAGAGUCAAUGUGGAGGCUAUAUACAGGGGGUACCGGUACAGAGUCAAUGUGGAGGCUAUAUACAGGGGGUACCGGUACAGAGUCAAUGUGGAGGCUAUAUACAGGGGUACCAGUACAGAGUCAAUGUGGAGGCUAUAUACAGGGGGUACCGGUACAGAGUCAAUGUGGAGGCUAUAUACAGGGUGUUAGGGUACAGAGUCAAUGUGGAGGCUAUAUACAGGGGGUACCGGUACAGAGUCAAAGUGGAGGCUAUAUACAGGCGGUACCGGUACAGAGUCAAUGUGGAGGCUAUAUACAGGGUGUUACGGUACAGAGUCAAUGUGGAGGCUAUAUACAGGGGGUACCGGUACAGAGUCAAUGUGGAGGCUAUAUACAGGGGGUACCGGUACAGAGUCAAUGUGGAGGCUAUAUACAGGGGGUACCGGUACAGAGUCAAUGUGGAGGCUAUAUACAGGGGGUACCGGUACAGAGUCAAUGUGGAGGCUAUAUACAGGGGGUACCGGUACAGAGUCAAUGUGGAGGCUAUAUACAGGGUGUUACGGUACAGAGUCAAUGUGGAGGCUAUAUACAGGGGGUACUGGUACAGAGUCAAUGUGGAGGCUAUAUACAGGGGGUACCGGUACAGAGUCAAUGUGGAGGCUAUAUACAGGGGGUACCGGUACAGAGUCAAUGUGGAGGCUAUAUACAGGGGGUACCGGUACAGAGUCAAUGUGGAGGCUAUAUACAGGGGGUACCGGUACAGAGUCAAUGUGGAGGCUAUAUACAGGGGGUACUGGUACAGAGUCAAUGUGGAGGCUAUAUACAGGGGAUACCGGCACAGAGUCAAUGUGCGGGGGUACAGGUCAGUCGAGGUAAUUGAGGUAAUAUGUAGGUAGAGGUACAUGUAGGUAGAGGUAAAGUGACUAUGCACAGAUAAUAAACAGAGACAGAGAGUAGCAGCAGCGUAAUAAUGGGCGGUGGGGACAAUGCAAAUAUUCCGGGUAGCCAUUUGAUUAGCUGUUAACGGGUCUUAUGGCUUGAGGGUAAAAACUGUUUAGAAGCCUUUUGGACCUAGGCUUGGCGCUCCGGUACCGCUUGCCGUGCAGUAGCAGAGAGAACAGUCUAUGACUAGGGUGGCUGGAGUCUGACAAUUUGCGCACGGCCCAGUACAUCACUGGAGCCAAGCUUCCAGCCAUCCAGGACCUACAGUUGAAGUCAGAAGUUUACAUACACCUUAGCCAAAUACAUUUAAACUCAGUUUUUCUUUACAUUUAAACUCAAUUCCUGACAUUUAAUCCCAGUAAAAAUGCCCUGUCUUAGGUCAGAUAGGAUCACCACUUUAUUUUAAGAAUGUGAAAUGUCAGAAUAAUAGUAGAGAGAAUGAUUUAUUUCAGCUUUUAUUUCUUUCAUCACAUUCCCAGCGGGUCAGAAGUUGUCAUACACUCAAUUAGUAUUUGGUGGCAUUGCCUUUAAAUUGUUUAACUUGGGUCAAACGUUUCGGGUAGCCUUCCACAAGCUUCCCACAAUAAGUUGGGUGAAUUUUGGCCCAUUCCUCCUGACAGAGCUGGUGUGACUGAGUCAGGUUUGUAGGCCUCUUUUUUGAAGAUAGAUUUGUAUUUGGCGCAUGUGAUAAAUACAAUUUUAUUUAUUAUUGAUGUUAUUUAUUAUUAUUGUUAUUUAUUAUUGUUGCCCAUUGUUGAUAUGCUGUAUGUGUGUGAAUGAGAUUUAAACAUGAAAACACAUUGAAAAGCUAUUUGGCUUCAGGUAUUCAAACACAACAGAGGCAUGGCAGUGCCACUCAUAGUCCUAGAUAUACCAAAAGCCUUAUGAAACAUUUUAAAGACAGAAUAACACAAUAAGGGCUACUUAUAUGCAGGCUAAGGUGUUUGAAUGUAAUCAUGUCGGCCAUAUUGGAUUCAGAAUAUAAUUGAUUUACACUAACACUCUUUGUAGUGUGUUGUACACAAUUCAUAUUUACAGGUGAUUUAACCGCCGACAAAUAUUGCAGUAUUAUGGCAGCCAUAUUGUAUUUUGGACGCCAUAUUAGAUUUUGACAAAAUAUAAAGAUAAUCUGUGAUGGCCCACUGAUUUAAUUACAAGACUGAGGGCUAAGAAUACAACAUCCUUUAAGAAAACCUUGGACCCCAACAAAAUGUAAUUCGAUGUCUGAGCCCACUUGUUUACAAAAUAAAAAAAUAUAAAUUUUUGUCAUGCAGGACCAUUACAAUACUGAAUAAGAGCACGUUUGACUUGGAAAGUUGUCUAUUGAACAGCAGUGAAGUUUAUAAUCAUCAUAAAUAUUCAUAGUUGAUAUUUCUGCCUAUUUUAUGUGUGUUUACUGGUCUAUCCAAGAUGCAUGAAGAUAUUCUGUUUGUUUGUGUACGUAUGGCAACAAUAUCAGCGCUUGCAAUAUUGGGUUACAUGAGCUAAUGUGCCUCACCUCCUCCAGCCAGGCGUUAUUCUGCACUUUUUGAGUUAAGGGGGAGUCACAAUAUCUAUCAAUUUAACAACUUUUGCAGUAAAAUAUUUUUACACAACCAUCCAUUUCCUAUAUGGGAGACCUUAGAGCUAUGGAAAAACAUGGUUGUGUUUUCUUAUAUACCUCAGUUAGCGGGUAUGUAACGGAAACACAGGGAGUCAGGAAGCAGGUUGAAAUGGUGAGUUCAAUAAUAACGAAAACGGAGAGAAGCAUCUGGACAAGAAAGCAGAACCAAUACUGCCUGAUGAGUUGUAGAGUACUAGAUAAAGGGGAAGUAAUCAGAGUAGUGAUGAGGGUUGCCAGGUGUGCGUAAUGAGGGUUGCCAGGUAUGCGUAGUUAGGAAACCGGAUUUUACUACUAUCUUAGUUUGUAUCAGUGCCUUCCAAAGUGUUACAGGUAUUAUUUGUGUCACCGCUCUUCGAACUUGGCGACUUCAAUCUCCAGACGUCUGCCUUCAAUUCAUUUAUUUCCAUCUCUCUCUUUCCCCUCCUUGCCUCAUUUGACCUCAUCCUUUCCCAGUCCCCUCCAACUCACAAGGCAGGCAAUACUCUUGACCUCAUCUUUACGAGAGGCUGUUCUCCUACUAAUCUCACUGGAACCCCCCCUCCAGGUCUCUGUUCUCCUACUAAUCUCACUGUAACCCCCCUCCAGGUCUCUGUUCUCCUACUAAUCUCACUGUAACCCCCCUCCAGGUCUCUGUUCUCCUACUAAUCUCACUGUAACCCCCCUCCAGGUCUCUGUUCUCCUACUAAUCUCACUGUAACCCCCCUCCAGGUCUCUGUUCACUAUUCUGUUUCCUUUCCUGUCUCCUUUCCUCCAACCCUAACCACUCAGCCCCUACCCAGAUAGUCAUGCACUGUCGCAAUUUUCUCUCUCUCCCACUAAUCAUCAAAUCAAAUCAAAUUUAUUUAUAAAGCCCUUCUUACAUCAGAUGAUAUCUCAAAGUACUGUACAGAAACCCAGCCUAAAACCCCAAACAGCAAGCAAUGUAGGUGUAGAAGCACGGUGGCUAGGAAAAACUCCCUAGAAAGGCCAAAACCUAGGAAGAAACCUAGAGAGGAACCAGGCUAUGAGGGGUGGCCAGUCCUCUUCUGGCUGUGCCGGGUGGAGAUUAUAACAGAACAUGGCCAAGAUGUUCAAAUGUUCAAAAAUGACCAGCAUGGUCAAAUAAUAAUAAUCACAGUUGUCGAGGGUGCAACAAGUCAGCACCUCAGGAGUAAAUGUCAGUUGGCUUUUCAUAGCUGAUCAUUCAGAGUAUCUCUACCGCUCCUGCUGUCUCUAGAGAGUUGAAAACAGCAGGUCUGGGACAGGUAGCACGUCCGGUGAACAGGUCAGGGUUCCAUUUAUGAACGCAGGCAGAACAGUUGAAACUGGAGCAGCAGCACGGCCAGGUGGACUGGGGACAGCAAGGAGUCAUCAUGUCAGGUAGUCCUGAGGCAUGGUCCUAGGGCUCAGGUCCUCCGAGAGAGAGAAAGAAAGAAAGAAAGAAAGAAAGAAAGAAAGAAAGAAAGAAAGAAAGAAAGAAAGAAAGAAAGAGAGAAAGAGAGAAUUAGAGAGAGCAUACUUAAAUUCACACAGGACACCGGAUAAGACAAGAGAAAUACUCCAGAUAUAACAGACUGACCCUAGCCCCCCGACACAUAAACUACUGCAGCAUAAAUACUGGAGGCUGAGACAGGAGGGGUCAGGAGACACUGUGGCCCCAUCCGACGAUACCCCCGGACAGGGCCAAACAGGAAGGAUAUAACCCCACCCACUUUGCCAAAGCACAGCCCCCACACCACUAGAGGGAUAUCUUCAACCACCAACUUACCAUACUGAGACAAUGCCGAGUAUAGCCCACAAAGAUCUCCGCCACGGCACAACCCAAGGGGGGGGGGGUGCAAACCCAGACAGGAAGACCACAUCAGUGACUCAACCCACUCAAGUGACACACCCCUCCUAGGGACGGCAUGGAAGAACACCCAUAAGCCAGUGACUCUACUGUCCUUUUCUAUCCUAUCAUUUCUUGCUUCUGCUAAAUCCUACCUCUUGUCUCCUGAUCCUGCCUCUUCGACCUUACUCUCCUCCCUUUCCACAUCAUAUGACUCGCACUGUCCCCAUUUCUCCCGGCCGGCUAGGCCCUCCCCUCCUGCUCUGUGUCUGAGUGACUCAUUGCGAGCUUACAGAACAGGGCUAACAGAACAGGGUAAACAGAACAGGGCUUACAGAACAGGGCUUACAGAACAGAAAAUGGAGAAAAACUGAACUUCUGGAGGACCAAUCAUCCUUUCACUCCCUCCUCUCUUCCUUCUCUUCCUCUGUAUCUGCUGCUAAAGCCACUUUCUACCACUCUAAAUGUCAAGCUUCUGCCUCUAACCCUGGGAAACUGUUUUCCACCUUCUCCUCCCUCCUAAGUCCUACCCCACCCUCCCCCUCCCUCCUCCCUCUCUACGGACAACUUUGUGAAUCUCAUUGAAAGGAAGGUUAACGUCUUCCGCUCCUCAUUCACUCAGCAUAUUGAGUCCACUGGUCCCACUCAAACAGAACUACCCUACUCCUUGACCUCUUUCUCCCCUCUUUCUCCAGUUGAAAUCCUGCAAUUAGUGAGGUCCGGCCUGCACAACAACCUGCCCGCUCGCCCCCCAUCCCCUCCUCCCUUAUUCCAGACUAUCUCUGGAGAUCUUCUCCCAUUCCUCACUUCCCUCAUCAACUCAUCCCUGACAACAGGCUGCAUCCCCUCCUCCCUUAUCCAGACCAUCUCUGGAGACCUUCUCCCAUUCCUCACUUCCCUCAUCAACUCAUCCCUGACCACUGGCUGCGUCCUCUCUGAGUUCAAAAUGUCCCGAGUCGCUCCCCUCCUCAGGAAACCAACACUCGACUCCUCUGAUGUCAAAAACUAUAGGCCUGUAUCCCUUCUUUCUUUUAUUUUGCUGCUAAAGUUAAGUACACCCCAGUUUGUUGGCUGUACACAUUGUACACCACAGCUUAUUGGCUGCACACAUAAGACAUUUGGCUGGGACAUGUUGUCAUGGUAAUUCCCCUUCCUUCAAUAAAAGCUUUGCAACAGCCUCAU
rnacentral:lncRNA from 1 species